rnacentral:rRNA from 1 species
GGACUACUGGGGUAUCUAAUCCUGUUUGCUCCCCGCACUUUCGCGCCUCAGCGUCAGUCAUCGGCUCGAAGCCCGCCUUCGCCACCGGUGUUCUUCCUGAUAUCUACAGAUUUCACCCCUACACCAGGAAUUCCGGCUCCGCCUCCGUGACUCAAGCUCCACAGUUUCCAACGCAGUUCACGGGUUAAGCCCGUAGCUUUCACGUCAGACUUGCAGAGCCGCCUACGCGCCCUUUACGCCCAAUAAUUCCGAACAACGCUCGCCCCUUACGUGUUACCGCGGCUGCUGGCAC